GUGCUCGCUUUGGCAGCAGAGAUACUACAAGUGGAAAUAUACAGUAAGGAUUAGCAUAGUCCCUAUGUGAAAGCGAAAUGCAAAUCUGCGAAGCUGCUGUAUUUCAA
rnacentral:snRNA from 1 species